GGGGAGGGGACGAAGCUGCCCGCCGCCAUUUUGCUUGUGGGCUGCUGCCCGCCGUUGCCUCUCCUACAGAGGCUUGAAGAUAGCCAACUGGAGGCAGAGAGGUGGGCAGAAUCUCCGUCUUUUUCACAACAGCGCUGGGUGAACUCGGUUGGGGUGUCACUCGACGCCCACUAGGGGCUGAGGAGGCUCCAGUGCGCAGACUCCGGGCACCGGAUAAAAGCAGAGCUGGAGCGUCCAGCGCCGUCUCGAUGGAGGAGCGAGAAACGGAAGAGGUCGGGGGGAGAAGCAACAAGAAAAGUACAGCCACCGUCAGCGCCGCUUUCCUGCCACCGUGUAUCGGGGUAAAAAGCUGCCGUUGCCGUCGGUGCAGUUGCCGUCGCUGCCUCGUACUUUUGGCCCCGGGGAAGGAUUUCCCCGCCGGCGGGACAAUGUGCGGGGUGGGGAGCGGGAGUUCCUUUAUGUGGUGAUUAAACGAGGGCGGGACAGAUAGACGGUUAUCUCGAAGAAAAAAGGGGGAGGCCAAAGAAUAAAACAAGGGUUUCCCCACUAAAAUAACACGGUGAUUCCGGUUCUUGUUUUCGGGGUCUUUCCCCCGAAAUGGCGGUUUCCGUCUUCUCGCUCCAAGGAGACCAGGAGCGCUUGGUAAGCCGAGUGGGGAGAGGCAGAGGCGGUUCGCGCAGCCAAUCAGUGCCUGAUGUGUUUUGUCGGCCGCGUCCCGAUUGGCUAGCGAUGACUUCAUGCUGCAGCAGCGGGUGGGGCCAGAGCCGUCGGGGGAGGCUGUUGCAAAGGCAGAGAGGGAGAAGUGACGAUGGUGAUCGUUGCUGCCGCGGCUGAUAUGGAACCAAGCAGUGGCGAAGAGAAUCUCAAGGCUCUUCCCUGAGUAUUUUCUCCUCUCCCUGCGCGAGGCAUGGAUUUUGAAGCUUAACAUCGCUACCUCCAGGGUUUCCCUAAGAACCAGUUACCUGAAGAAAGCAUUGGGUACUUCUGACCCUUACUGGAGCCCCUCUGGAGUCUUUGGCUGGUCCUGUGUAUAGUAAAUGUCGCCAUGCUGUUUUUCCUAGGUAUCAUAUUACAGGUCAGAAUUGUUUCUCCUUCCCUUCCACUGCCUGAGUGCUAAACCAGAUUGAUUUCUUCAUGAACAGCUACCAGCUAACCAUUAUUGAAGCUGUAUUAUAAGCUUGGGACACAAUGCUGAGUACUUGUCAUAUAUUAGCUCUAAUUCUCACAACUUCAAUCCAGUAAAGUAGGGGUAUUAGCCCUAUUUUCCAGAGGACAAAAAUCACACUAGGUCACCCAGAUAAUAAGUAUUAGAAUCAGACUUUCAACCUGAAUCAGCUUCUAGAGCCCAUGGCCUCAACAUCACAUCAGAAACACUUUCCAAAGGGAGAACUGUGGGUUAUGCAGCCUUCAGAAGUCCGAGGAGGAUCUCGCAACUCCCUUCAGGCACUAUCAGUUCUCCUUUUCGAGAAUGCCCACCUGGCUAGCCCUGCCAUAAUAAUUAUUAGAACCUGGGAUACCUCACUUAUGGUCCUUGCAGUUUUUCAAGGUUGACCCACGGGGUGUCUAAUUUUCUCUUCCUGAAAACCUCCUCCAUUCAUCAUGCAUUAAACCCCAAGCUAAGCUGGGGCAGCAAGUUCUUUCUAGCAGAAGAUGGCAGCUGCUGUUAUUUACCCCCCAGGGGAUAUGCUGCAAAUCCCAAGCCUUACAGCUGGGAACACGGAGAUCUGGCUUUGCAAGCAUAUAAGACAAAUCUUGACAAAGAGGGAGGGGCAUGCACACUGGCCAAGGAGCUCUCAGCCAGGAGGCUGGGAUGCAGAGGCACGGUCUCGAAUGCCAAAACCACAUUCAGCAGGCCUUCGGUCACACGGGCCUUCCACCGCUGGGGCUCAUUCACUUAGGCCAAGCAUGUGGUCUCCUAAUUGCUUUUCCUCCCUUUAACCCUCUUCCCCCUUCUUCCCCCACCUCGCCCUUGUCCUUAAAUGCUUUCUCCAGGUCUACACCUUAACCUCAUUGUAGGAUCCCAGUGAAUGCCAAGGCUUGUGUGGGUGGAAGAUUAUAAAUCAAAAUCAAAGCCUCAGACACAGCCAUUGGGGGGGGGGGACCAGAGGAGAGAAGGGCCACAAUUGAAAACAAAUGAGCCUCUUUCAUCCCAAUGGGAUUUUUGUUAUUGUUUUCUAAAGCCUGCUGUUCCUGCAGGGCACUUCACCAGAAGCUAUGGUUUCUGGAACAUUCAGAGAACAGAAGCACUGACAAGAGUUGUCCACAUGUGUGUCCUCUGCAAGAGUUUCAACAAAACUUGGGGGCCUGAAGAAGUUCUAUUUUUUAAACAAGCCUCAGUUUCACCCCCAAUAAAAGAGGUUUCAGUUUUGAAAAGCAACAGAAGUGUAGCCUCAACCAUCAUUUUUCUCCAGAACCGAGAACCUUCACAAAAUGACAGAGGGAUCAGAUCUGAAAAAUCUGACUAAAUGUAGUCUACGAAAAAUUAAAUCUUGUCUUUUCUCAACGAUCCUGUGCUAGGGGAGGGGAUCCCAAGACAGAACUCCAGUGGGACCUCAACUCCCUGUUCAUGUACAUCUGGUUUUAUGAGGCAUUGUGGUAAUUAACAUUUUUAUAUGGGUGUGUCCGUGGUUCUGGGAAUUUACAACUGUUUACAGCGGAUGGCAAAGCUACUCGUGAAGCUGCUGACAGGGCUAGAAUGCUGUCGAAGGACUUCUCCAGCCUCUGGACCAGCUCAGCUUCUCGAGGGCUGGAAACAAAAUGGGCUUUCACCUCAGAGGAAGGUUUCAAUCCUGGUGCUGCUGUGUGGCUUUUUAGAUUCCUUUUUUGAAAAACAGGAAAAAUGAAAUACCAAGUGCCUUGACCAUGACAUGAGAGAAUCAUCUUGGAAGUUGGGAGGGAAUUCUCAAACACAUCUAGUAUUCAAUCGGGUAUUAUUUUAAUCUGGAAGGAGCCUGGAAGGUUACAUACUUCCACGAAUAGACCAGAGCUGCUAAUUAACUUGGGUUAGGAGAGCUUCACCAACCUCUCUGUAAAUGAGGACAUUCUUGUUAUAGAUUAUUAAGAGAUUCAGUAUAACCCGUGAAGGUCAUAGAUUUGAGUCUGUGGCUGGAAUUUAGUGACUGAGCAACUCAGCUCAGAAGUUAAGCAUAUUUUGUGUUUCUAAGAGGCCUCCAAAAACCAGAAUUUUUAUUAAGUUACUGUUCCUGGGGGCACCUGGGUGGCUCAGUCAGUUAAGCAGCUGACUUCAGCUCCCGCCAGGGUCCAGGGAUCGAGCCCUGCAUGGGGCUCCCUGCUUAGCGGGGAAUCUGCUUCUCCCUCUCUCCCUGUUUAUGCUCACGUGCGUGGACACACACUCUCUCCUUCAAAUAAAUAAAAAUCUUUAUUAAAAAAAAAAGUUGCCUCUCCAUAUCUUUACUCAACUUAUCCUGUGUGUUAAUACAUGAAUAAUUUUUAUUCUCACUAACUCAUCUGAAUUCAUACUAACGGGCAAAUGUAGCCUGGAAUUUACCACAUUGCUGGAGAGGCUACAUAGCAAGAUGGCUUGUUCACGCAGCCCUCCUACGCAAAACCUUGGCACCCCAUGCACAAAUUCUGAGUUGUGUAGGGGGAAAGCCUAAGUAUACACGGUCUGCUGAAAAUGCCAGAUGAAUUUCUGCAGCUUCUUCAACAUCCGUAUUAUAUAACGUGUCCUGCCUGGAUUAAGGACCCACUUUUGAUCACAGAGGUAAAACUGGACCCUUGUGCCCCUAAACACAGAAAGCUUGAUUAACUCAAUUGUAUGCUCUUUCCAAACAGCACAUUUGUUUUCCUGGCCAGGAAGUUGGAACAGUGUUCCAGUAAGUGUUUAGAUCUGGUAUUACUUAGGCUACAGGUUCAAUGACUCACAAAGAGAAGCCAAAAUACAGUGGCAGUUCAGCUCAGUCAGGGGCCCAGUUUCUCUCAUUGUGCCGCCACUCCUGAAACAAACAUGCCUUUUGCUUCGAAGUCCAAGGUGGCUGCUCCAGCUCCAACACUCACAUCAACAUCCCAGCAGAAAAGGAGAAAAUAAAGACAUUCUCUAAAGGUAACACUCUGGAUGUUGUAUACACCAACAUCUACUCCCAACUUCGGCAUAUCCAGCUGCAAGGGAGGCUGGGAAGCUGGGUGACCAUGUAUCUGGCUAAAAAUUCUGUUAUCCUACAAGAAAAGAACUACAGACUAGAGAACAACCAGCACUUUCUGCCACAAUUCCCUUCCUGUGGUUUUUUGCUCCAGACCUACUUGAUGAAGAAUUCAAAAUGCUGAGCUAGAAGCCCACUGAAUUCCCUAUGUGCAGACGAGAGGCAUUUUUACUCUUAUUUUUGGAUAGCAUCAAUAAUACAUGUUAAUUCUUGGGGUGGGGAGAUAGAAAAUAUAAAUCAGAAUGUAAGAAUUAGCAUCCUUAUGAAUACUACUGUGCACCUGAAACUAAUACCAUAUGUUAACUAAUUGGAAUUUAAAUAAAAUCUUUAAAAUAAAAAAAAGAAUUAGCAUCUUUAGACUCUAUGCCCCUAUGAGAGGAAGGUCAGGUUUCUGAGGUCUUUCCUGACAAACUUGCCCAAUACAAAUGCAGUUGUUGAAUCUCAGGGUGGGAAUUUACAUGACAGGAUGGUGGUGGACAUAAAUGAUCUAUAUUGUGGGGUGGGAAGAGGACUUUUACCUGCCAAACAACUGAAAACAGAAAUGGAGAAACUUGGAUUUUAGCUCUAUCUCUUAAUUGACCCCCUUCGUGACCCUGAGCAAGUAACAAAGCCAUCAUGUUUCCAUUUCUCCAUCCGUAAAAUGUACUUUUAUACAUUUUCUCAAUCCCCAUUAGAAGAUAGUUACAAGAAUCAAGCCUUCCUUCCUGGAUCCCUUCGAAUACUCUUGGGUGCCCCCUUCCCUGCCCCGUGAAAGGUACUGAGAAUAAAGACAGACUUGCCCACCGUCCCCCUGGAGUGGAAUCUAAUGGGUGAUGCAUAUCAAAAUCUUCUGAGGGGUAUCAGCUCAUAGGUCAAGGAUUACUAUCGAGGAGUGUUUACCAGUCAUCGUAGUUCCUUGGCCCCUCACACCUCUUUGCCAAGGCCAAAGUGGAGGAAGAGGUAGAGGAGAUAAAGCGUUCAGAUGGGAGGAUGUGGUCUGGCCUGGGCGGGCUGCCAUUUUACCAAACCCAAUCAGCCCUAACUCCCCUACGAUACUAAUCAGCAUUUUCUAGUUACAACGAGUGCUCUCUGUGUUCCACCUUCUGACAGGGAAGUAGGAAAAUAGAGAUUUGCAGAAGUCGCUAAAAACUCAUGUCAGGAGGCAGAGUUCCAUUUCUAGAUCCAAGAAAAACUUCCUGUUUUGUUAAGACCCUUCUUAGGAGCGGAAACCAGCUCACUCAAAUGAAAACCGCAAUGAAUAAUUUCAGUGAUUUGUACCGUAUGUUAAGCAAGCCCAAAAUCCCAAGAGAAGGUUGUGAAUAAGAAGAGAAACCAUCAGAAGGGAACUGUCCCAUGUCAACCCCCACUGACCAGGUCUCCUCCUCACUUCCUCUUUCGCCACUCCCUGAAGAACAGUGACCAACAACGGCAUGGAAUAACUUCGGGGAGAACAUGACGCAAAGGCAAUCUGGCAAAGCCUCGGGGGUUUGUUCAAGAACUGCAGAACUCCGAUUGCUUGCCCUCUCUCCAGAUGGAGUUUCCUUUUCUGCACAAAGAUCCAGAAGAACCGUUUUAUUAGCCUUGCCUAUACUGCAAUAACGAAAUAAGUUCAGAGUCUUAGUUUUCCACAAUAACAUGAUAUCGUUGCUUCCAUGAUGUGACAGAUGCGGGUUGGUGGUGGAGAUCAAGAACCCUGGUUGAUCACUGCAGUCUAGGUCUCCACCAUCCUGGCCGGAGAAGAAAAGGCAUGGAGAAGUCACACGUGCUCUUCUGUGUUCAGAAGGGACAUGGGUGACUUCUGUCUCAGUGGUUGGACAGAACCAAGUACAGAGGGGCCGGGAUGGACGGGGACAUGCAUGGUUACAGCCGCGCAACAAACGCUCUGCCCCCGCUGCCCUUUCGAGUGGGGGCGAGCUACGACAUAUCCUAGUGGCUCAGAAUCCCAGACCGUGAAAGGAUCAUUUGAAUCCAAGUCCACGGAGAUGUCUCCCCUAAAGGUCUUUCUUGAUAACUUCCUGAGUGUCUAACAGGCAACUCUCAGGUCAAAAAUAGCCCACCCCAUUUAAGGUGGGUUCUAUGUAAGGGUUUUACCUCAACCCCCAACUCUUCCCAUGUUUUAUUUACCGGAUUAGCUAGCCUCACAGUGUUGCUGGGAGACGGAUGUGACUUGGUGCCCCUGGGAGCACUGGUCAGUCAUUGAAACCAAAGCAAAGUUUUUUAAAUCAUGGCAUUUUAAGCUCUUCACAUUUAAUUCCAUGCAAACGCCAACAUAAAGCUGGAGGAUUGUUCUCUAAAAGACUGUUGACCAAAUUGUUCAAAAUAUAUUAUGAUUCAAGCCUCCUCUUGCCGUUGACUCAUGUCUGACUCUUGUCCAGUGUUCUCAUGCCAAGGGAGGAUGCUCUGUAUUCACCGUCAAUUAAAUAUACAUACAGCUCACGCACACAUGGGGUUCUCAUGAAUGAACUUGUAUGCCCUUGCCAGGGGGCACGAAGUGAAGUAAUAGCUUAUCCAGGACUUGAGUGCCUUUGCCCUCUCCACCUUGCUCCUUGCUUUGGGGACAUUUGCAAUCCACCAGAAACACAGGAGAGAAGCAAGGGAAAUACAGCUCAUUUUGGAGGCAGACUGACUUCACAGGGUGGUUCUCUGCCCUUCUGUUUUCCUUGGCCUGCUGUGGAGCUGUUUUGGGACUUAGGAGGCUCUCCAACCAUGAGGCCCUUUCCAGACCUGAUUUCCCCUUGGAAUGACACAUUAGCCUCCCUUCAAAUGUAGCAAUUGUAAAUUCCUGACUGGGGAGCAGCAAUUGCUUUGAAUUACACACUAUUUGAAUCAACCAGUAUGGGAUUAACAAGGCCUUAUUGUUCUCCAAUCCUUUACUGAAACUCUGCUAUAGCAAUUUCUAGUGACAUUGUAUUUCCCUGCCUAGCAUGUGACGGUGCAAAGCAACACUUUCCCCACUGUAAUGGGUCCUUUUAGUUGUGUGUAAUAAAAACCUCUGGUUACGAUUUUACCAAGAGCACCGAACAGGAAGAGAGAAUAUUGCCAGGUUUUCUCUGUUCGCUUUUUUCUCUUCCUUUCCCACUCUUUGGCUUCCCUACCGGAAUUCCACAUUUUAAGUUCCUCAGAUUCGUGAAGUUAAACAUUGCUUCAUGACUGCUAUGCAGACAUGCAAAUAUACACACAAUGUCGGAUUCUCUCUCUUACACUAUGUGUAUAUGCUAUUUUUAAAAUAGGCCUCAGGAGCACAGAAUGAAAUCCAUCAUCAUCCUUGGUUUGUGAUACAACUCUCAUCAUUGCCCUGGAAAUGCUAUUGUAAAUGUGUUUUUAUGAUAACCCAAGGAAACAAUUUACAUUUGCUCUAGUCCAUUAAACACACACACACACGCCCCAAAAGCACAUUUUUUUUUAAGAUU